rnacentral:siRNA from 1 species
GAUGGUGAUGUAGAAAUAUCAUGG